rnacentral:lncRNA from 1 species
GGGGAAGGCUCAGAAGCUCCAAGGUUUCAUUGACACAGCCUGGAGACCCAGCUCUGUCACUCAACUCUACAUAGCCUUCACCCAGAGCCUGACAGUGUAUAUGAACAAGAGGCUGUGCCUGGUGAGUGCUUCUGCCACUUUCUCCAGGAUGACAGCUGUGGACUCCUGCCACAUCCAACACCCCCUUGCUGCUCCCCACCGCCCUCCUUGGCACCCAGGUGGCUGAUCUCCUAUGGUCUUGCUGGCUUCUCUACCUUGUAUGCUGAGGGCGGGCCCAGCCUGCCCCAGCUCAGGGUCUGCACAUAGUAGGUGCUUGCAUGUUGCCUGCUAAACUGACAGCCCUGUAACCAUGUCAGCACAAAGCAACCAGCAUUUUGGGUGCAUCUGCAGUUAAAAUAAACCACUGAGGUCAUG